CUCGUAGGCGGUUUGUCGCGUCUGGUGUGAAAGUCCAUCGCUUAACGGUGGAUCUGCGCCGGGUACGGGCAGGCUGGAGUGCAGUAGGGGAGACUGGAAUUCCCGGUGUAACGGUGGAAUGUGUAGAUAUCGGGAAGAACACCAAUGGCGAAGGCAGGUCUCUGGGCUGUUACUGACGCUGAGGAGCGAAAGCGUGGGGAGCGAACA
rnacentral:rRNA from 1 species